GGAACUUGACGAGUCGGAGUUGGUGUUGGAGUUGGAACUUAAGGACUUCGUCUAAAUCUUUUCUUAUUAACCAACUUUUUCUUGUAAGUCAUUUAUAAUCUGUGAAUACAACAAAAUAUUUAACAUUUAAAAUUGAUAAAAAUAGAAAAAUAAUUUAAAUAAAAAAAUUACUCACAGAAUAUAUUAGCAGUUUUGUAAAUUACUCACGUGAAGGAGUCAAAUACUCUGACAUAUAACAUUUUAUAAACUGUAAAAUGGUCUAAAAACACUGCAAGGAAAUCAACCUAUACAUAUAUGUGGAUAAAAAAUUAUCACCUUCAAUAAGAGGGACGGGACAGAUCUUCAAUUAAAACGCCAAUUACCUGAAUCAUAAGGAAAUCGUGAGAAGGUGAAGAAACUAACCAGACAAUAAGGAUUUGUUAAGAUUUAUAUAAGUAUAACCAAAAUAAAAUGACG
rnacentral:lncRNA from 1 species